CUGAAACCUCUCUCUCUUAUUUUAGGAUUUUAAUUUGUUCAUAUUUGUAGACUCUCUCUCUCUCCUGCAAUCCCUCAUUCUCUCUGAUUUCGCCAUGGAUGGGAGUAAGCAGAGGUUCGAAGCUCUCGGAGAAGCAGAGAGGUAAAGAGAAGACGAUGAAGGAGAAGAAGAAGAUGAUGAUGAUGACAGUGGCGGUGGCGGGAACAAUGUAGAAUUGGAGGAAGUUGAUGAUGAUGACGGUGGCAGUGGUGAAGUUAGGAGCCAACUCGGUGGGUUUGACUGUUCGUUACCACCUCCAAUCAAAGCACAGUUGGGCGGUUCUCAAUUGGAAACCCUAGCCAACUCCGAUCUUCCAUGCGAUUUUGUUGCUUCUUCUCGCCAUUUCUCGGAGGUGCCAGUGGUUUAUGCUCUUCUAUGGCUGCUGGAUUCGGCUGCAUUCAAGGUAUACAGAAUUUGGUGGUGUAGUUCCUUAUAGACCUGUUGAAGACUUGGCAUUUUCAGUUGCUAGGUUUAUACAAAAUAAUGGUUCAUUCAUGAAUUAUUAUAUGUACCAUGGCAGAACAAAUUUUGGGCGGACAGUUGCUGGUCUCUUCAUUGCCAUUAGCUACGACUAUGAUGCUCCGAUUGAUGAAUAUGGAUUACUAAGAGAACCAAAAUGGGGCAUUUGACGAAUUUGCACAAGGCUAUCAAGCAAUGUGAACCAGCUUUGGUUUCCUCGUAUCCCGCAGUGACUUGGCCUGGCAAUAAUCUAGAGGAACCGUGUACGGGCCGCUAGAGAAUCCAAAACUGACAUAUAGCAGCACUGUGAAGUUGAGAGCCGGAAUUAACAAGAUUUCUUUACUAAGUGUUGCUGUUGGCCUUCCGGUUAGUCCAUACCUCCUGAUAAAAGUUUACAUUCUUGGGAUGUUAAUGACAGUAAUGGAAUCUUUCUAAAUUCUAUUGGAUCGAUUUCAUAAUGUCGGUGUGCAUUAUGAGACAUGGAACACGGGGGUUCUUGGCCCGGUCACACUGAAGGGCCUCAAUGAGGGGACAAGAGACUUGACAAAGCAACAGUGGUCUUACAAGUUUCAUUUCAACUUUAUGAUCUCAAGCAUCAAGGAUUCAUAGAGACAGGAGCUUAUGAGUUUCCUGUGCCGUCAUGACAAUCAGUCUUUUCUUCCUCAUUGUCAACUUGUCUUUGUUAUUCAACUCUUUUUGCUCCUAUUGGAGAUGAACGGAAGCAAGUUCGCUAGAGGAUUCAUUACACCUGUGGACAUAUCCAAUGCUGUGUAAACAUUACUACUUUGUGCUACAAUUGUGAUUCCUUCAAGGAAGGAGUUGCACAAUACAUGAAAACUAAAUGGAGGGUGGUUGCAAUCUUUAAUGUGGUUCUGUUUGUUGUUUUGGUGAGAAACUCCUCUCCAUCUAGUUUGGAACAAAUCAAAUUAUCUUUUUCUCAUUAGCGAAUGAGGAACAACAGAUAAUAUGGCAUAUGAAUUGCAUUUUAUAUCUUCUAUUGUUGAAAUUGACAAAUUGUAUUAUGGAAGUAGCAUAAUAUUUGUAGAUUAUCAUUUUAUUGACAGUGUUUAUAUGAUAGGACCUUCUAAUCGAGUUCAUUUAUUUUUCUUACAAUUAUCUGUUGUGAAAUCAAUCAAUAAUCUACUUUGUGGGAUGCUGUGCGAACCGAAAUGCUACAAGGAGCCACUCUAAAGUUUGAAACAGACCUAUGUAUCUCAAGAAAUCUUCACUUGGAGCGGAGAAUGAGCUCUUUCAAUGGAGAAUGCGCUCUUUCAAUUCAAUGGAGAAUUAUAUAGUAAAUAUUCCAGUUGCUUUUGAUGCUCUCUUGGGAGGGUGCACGGAGUGGAAGCUAGAGCGCUGGACUGUCCUUUGUGAAAACGUCUUAUGAUUUGGAUACUUUUCUUGGUUUGUAUGUUUGAGGUUGUUAAAGUCGUAUUUUAGAGAUUAGUAGUUAUACGAUUAGUAUUUUAGAGAUUAGUCGUAUUUUAGAGGUUGUUAAAGUUGUAUUUUAGAGAUUAGUGGAAACUAGAGUCAUACUUUAGAGACUAAUUGAUUUACGAUUUGUAGUUAUAUUUUUUGGAUGUUUAAAGUUGUAUUUUAGGGAUUAGUGAAUCUUAUGAUUUAGAUACUUUUCUUGAUUUGUAUGUUUGAGGUUGUUAAAGUCGUAUUUUAGAGAUUAGUGAAUCUUAUGAUUUGGAUACUUUUCUUUAUUUGUAUGUUUGAGGUUGUUAUCAACUUGAUAUGAUAGAAGUUGAGGAUGGAAGUUAGUAUGCA